AUUGAACGCUGGCGGCAGGCCUAACACAUGCAAGUCGAACGAGUGGCGGACGGGUGAGAAAUGUCUGGGAAACAGCCCGAGGGAGGGGGAUAACUACUGGAAACGGUAGCUAAUACCGCAUACCAUCGGAUGUGCCCCGAUGGGAUUAGCUAGUAGGUGGGGUAACGGCUCACCCAGGCGACGAGCCCUAGCGGGUCUGAGAGGAUGACCAGCCAAGCUGGAACUGAGACACGGUCCAGACUCCUACGGGAGGCAGCAGUGGGGAAUAUUGCACAAUGGGCGCAAGCCUGAUGCAGCCAUGCCGCGUGUAUGAAGAAGGCCUUCGGGUUGUAAAGUACUUUCAGCGGGGAGGCGUUACUCGCAGAAGAAGCACCGGCUAACUCCGUGCCAGCAGCCGCGGUAAUAC
rnacentral:rRNA from 1 species